rnacentral:RNase_P_RNA from 1 species
GAGUCGGGGAGUUAACUCCGGGAUUUGGCAUUAAAUUGUCAAGGAAUCUAAAGAUGAUUUCUAAUCCUGAGGAAGGUCCGCCCACCACAUUAAGGCUGUCUCCUGAAAAGGAGAUUCUCGCGAGGGAAAGCUCCAGAACAGAAACGACACAGCUUCCGCCGAGUUAUGAAACCAGAGUGGAACUUUGAAGCGGAAGAUAUGAUGAAACGGCUGACUCUGCCGGUGCAAGUUCAAAGAACGCAUAGUUGAAUGUUAACACUUUCCGUCCGGAAACGGGGAAAGACAGAAGGUGGCCUAACCCUGACUC